GACGAACGCUGGCGGCGUGCUUAACACAUGCAAGUCGAGCGGAGCGGCGAACGGGUGAGUAACGCGGGAGUAACUGCCCACCUCUCUGGGAUAACAAUUGGAAAAGGCUGCUAAUGACGGUGAGGGGGGGAUGACUCGGGUCCUUUCAGCUUGUUGGUGGGGUAGUGGCCUACCAAGGCGACGACGGUGAGCCGGACUGAGAGGGCGACCGGCCACAUUGGGCUGAGAUACGGCCCAAACUCCGACGGGAGGCAGCAGGGGGGAAUAUUGCACAAUGGGGGAAACCGUGAUGCAGCAACGCCGCGUGCGGGAUGACGGCCUUCGGGUUGUAAACCGCUUUCAGCCAUGACGCGGUAGUGGCAGAAGAAGCACCGGCUAACUACGUGCCAGCAGCCGCGGUAAUAC
rnacentral:rRNA from 1 species